rnacentral:rRNA from 1 species
UACGUAGGGGGCGAGCGUUGUCCGGAUUUAUUGGGCGUAAAAGGCUUGUAGGUGGCCACGUCAAGUCGGAUGUGAAAUCUCCCGGCUCAACUGGGAGGGGUCAUUCGAUACUGGCGGGCUCGAGGCCGGUAGGGGGAAGCGGAAUUCCCGGUGUAGUGGUGAAAUGCGUAGAUAUCGGAAGGAACAUCAGUGGCGAAAGCGGCUUCCUGGACCAGCACCGACGUUCAGGCACGAAAGCGUGGGGAGCAAACAGG